rnacentral:ncRNA from 1 species
AAUGUCCGCGCCGGAGCCGGUUCCGUCGCGAGACGGAUGAAAAGGGAACGCGGUGAGGCUGGGUGUCAGCCAAAUCCGCGACUGCCCCCGCAACUGUAACCGUAGAGCCUCCAUCCACAUGCCACUGGCCAGCGUCGCUGUUCGGGAAGGCGGAUGGGGGUGACGACACGGAAGUCAGGAGACCUGCCAGUUCCAGUCACCCAUG